rnacentral:rRNA from 1 species
CCCCUAGUAACUGCGAGUGAAGCGGGAAAAGCUCAAAUUUUGAAUCUGGCGGUCUUCNUGACCGUCCGAGUUGUAAUCUAGAGAAGCGUCUUCCGCGCUGGACCGUGUACAAGUCUCCUGGAAGGGAGCNUCAUAGAGGGUGAGAAUCCCGUCUUUGACACGGACCCCCAGUGCUAUGUGAUGCGCUCUCGACGAGUCGAGUUGUUUGGGAAUGCAGCUCAAAAUGGGUGGUAAAUUCCAUCUAAAGCUAAAUACAGGCGAGAGACCGAUAGCGAACAAGUACCGUGAGGGAAAGAUGAAAAGAACUUUGGAAAGAGAGUUAAACAGUACGUGAAAUUGCUGAAAGGGAAACGCUUGAUGUCAGUCGCGUCCGCCAGGGAUCAACCUUGCUUNAUCGCUUGGCGCAUUUCUUGGUCGGACGGGUCAGCAUCAGUUUCGAUCGUCGUAGAAUGNUCAAGGGAACGUGGCACCUCCAGGGGUGUGUUAUAGCCUUUGGUCGUAUGCGUCGGUAGGGAUUGAGGAACUCGACAUGGCCCCUUCGAGGACUUGUGUCUAGGAUGCUGGCAUAAUGGCCUUAAGCGACCCGUCUUGAAACACGGACCAAGGAGUCUAACAUGCCUGCGAGUGUUUUGGG